GACGAACGCUGGCGGCGUGCUUAACACAUGCAAGUCGAACGAAGAGCGAUGGAAGCUUGCUUCUAUCAAUCUUAGUGGCGAACGGGUGAGUAACGCGUAAUCAACCUGCCCUUCAGAGGGGGACAACAGUUGGAAACGACUGCUAAUACCGCAUACGAUCUAAACUCGGCAUCGAGGAUAGAUGAAAGGUGGCCUCUACAUGUAAGCUAUCACUGAAGGAGGGGAUUGCGUCUGAUUAGCUAGUUGGAGGGGUAACGGCCCACCAAGGCGAUGAUCAGUAGCCGGUCUGAGAGGAUGAACGGCCACAUUGGGACUGAGACACGGCCCAGACUCCUACGGGAGGCAGCAGUGGGGAAUCUUCCGCAAUGGACGAAAGUCUGACGGAGCAACGCCGCGUGAGUGAUGACGGCCUUCGGGUUGUAAAGCUCUGUUAAUCGGGACGAAAGGCCUUCUUGCGAAUAGGGAGAAGGAUUGACGGUACCGGAAUAGAAAGCCACGGCUAACUACGUG
rnacentral:rRNA from 1 species